GCUGGCGACCAUAGCAAGAGUGAACCACCUGAUCCCUUCCCGAACUCAGAAGUGAAACCUCUUAGCGCAGAUGGUAGUGUGGGAUUACCCAUGUGAGAGUAAGUCAUCGCCAGCU
rnacentral:rRNA from 1 species